rnacentral:lncRNA from 12 species
GUCUAAGGUCUGACGGUAGCAGUUCACGGUUUUAAACGUUUCAGUGAGAGUAGAGAAACUGCGGACAGUCCCUUACUGUAGCAUUAGGAGCGAGUCUUGAGCUCCGUGGAUUCACUCUCUGCCUGUGGAGUGAAGAGGCUGUAGUACGCGUUUACACUCUUGUUUACUGACGGCGAUGAAAUUUCAGUUUUAAUCUUUGGAAAUAAAUCGUCCAGGAUGACGGUGGAUUUUGAAGACUGUAUCAAAGAUUCACCCCGCUUUCGGGCUAAUAUUGAUGAGGUGGAGACGGAGGUGGUGGAGAUCGAAGCCAAGCUUGAUAAGGUACAGUAAGACACUUUAAAGCUGUCACUUGACCUUGUGACCCCG